AAGCUUACCUGGUGGGGGGCACCAUGAUCGGGAAGGUGGUUUUCCCAGAGAGAGGCUCACCCUUUGCUCUUGGGGUGUGCUGACGCCUGAGAUGUCCGCACACACAGGAAACUCGACUGUGUAAUUUGCGGUAGUGAGGGACUGUAUUAGCCCUCUCUCUUG